GACGAACGCUGGCGGCGUGCCUAAUACAUGCAAGUAGAACGCUGAAGAGAGGAGCUUGCUCUUCUUGGAUGAGUUGCGAACGGGCGAGUAACGCGUAGGUAACCUGCCUUGUAGCGGGGGAUAACUAUUGGAAACGAUAGCUAAUACCGCAUAACAAUGGAUGACACAUGUCAUUUAUUUGAAAGGGGCAAUUGCUCCACUACAAGAUGGACCUGCGUUGUAUUAGCUAGUAGGUGAGGUAAUGGCUCACCUAGGCGACGAUACAUAGCCGACCUGAGAGGGUGAUCGGCCACACUGGGACUGAGACACGGCCCAGACUCCUACGGGAGGCAGCAGUAGGGAAUCUUCGGCAAUGGGGGCAACCCUGACCGAGCAACGCCGCGUGAGUGAAGAAGGUUGUCGGAUCGUAAAGCUCUGUUGUAAGUCAAGAACGGGUGUGAGAGUGGAAAGUUCACACUGUGACGGUAGCUUACCAGAAAGGGACGGCUAACUACGUG
rnacentral:rRNA from 1 species